CAAUCUUCAUUUCUCAAUCAAUUGAGCCAAUUAAUAAUUAUAUUGUUAAUUAAUUAUUUUUUAAUUUACUAACCAUUAGUAAAUAAGUUAUUGUAACCUUUGUAUAGGAUUAAUCAUCAAUCAAAUUGAUAAUUAAACCCUCCAACUAUUCAUAAUCGUUAAUCAGCCAUUUGAUCAGAUAGGUACUUCUAUAUGUGUGACCCCAUAGGUUCGAACC
rnacentral:lncRNA from 1 species